rnacentral:rRNA from 1 species
UACGUAGGGUGCAAGCGUUAAUCGGAAUUACUGGGCGUAAAGGGCUCGUAGGUGGCCAACUAAGUCAUACGUGAAAUCCCUCGGCUUAACCGGGGAACUGCGUCUGAUACUGGAUGGCUUGAGGUUGGGAGAGGGAUGCGGAAUUCCAGGUGUAGCGGUGAAAUGCGUAGAUAUCUGGAGGAACACCGGUGGCGAAGGCGGCAUCCUGGACCAAUUCUGACACUGAGGAGCGAAAGCCAGGGGAGCAAACGGG